rnacentral:lncRNA from 1 species
CUUCUUUCCGGCAAGUUCUCUUCUUUCUCUCCUCCAAGUAACUGGGUAAGUAUGAACACUUCUGUCUCUCCCCAUGUGUACUUCUCCCUCUCCCUCUCCCUCUCUCCACACUCUUGAGCAUUCUGGUCCCAAAUUAUAGAUUUCAUACUGUGUUCAGCUUCCAAUAGUUGUGACCUAAGAAUUGAGGCUUAAGGACUUGAGGAGUUUACCUUCAUCACAUAAUGAGAAGCCUGAAGAAGAGAAAUUGCUGCUGGUGGUUUCAGCUACUCAAGGAAUUCAGAGUGAAAAUUUUGAGAUUAUUUGGGAUUUUCCCUAAUGGUUGGGGUCCAACUGUAACAAGUAAGUUCAGGCAAAUAAAGAAAGAAAAGCAACAGAGGUUUUCUAAGAAAUCCCACCCAAUUACUUUUUCUUGUGUCUCAGAGGCCACCUCUAUCUGGAAGAAAGAAGGUAAAUGCAGUUUGUUUGUUUGUUUGUUUGUUUAAGAUGGGAAUAUUGACAUGCCCAAUAAAGAUGGAGUCCUGUUGGUAAUGAAAAAGAGAGAAUUGAUAUUGCAAAGGUAAUUGGCAGUAUUUACCAUGGGCAGAGGCAAAUCGGGUAUGUGGACUCUGCCUAGGUCUACUGGAUGCUCCAAUCCAACUUGUAUUAGAACUUUGCCAAAGGGAGCCUUUGGGUACUGCUUUCAGUUUUAAGAGAGUAAUACUAACAUUAUACUCCCACUUCUCUGUUGUUCUUCUCAUGUAACAAGAGUAAUUGGCAAAGCUGGAUUUGGGAUUCCUGGGAUGUUAGCCUAUCUACCAUCUAAAACCAUCAAAGUCUUUCUUCAAUUUCUAACAAGAGUCUACAUCUCAUUUAUGGUGGAGCAUUCAAGUGAGUGACAAUUGACUCCUGUUGCUAAGACUAUGUGGAUCCUGACAAAAGUUCCAAUGUGCAUGUGGUGUUCCAGUUUUCUGUAAAGUAUGGUUAUUACAGAAAUUCUGACAAAUUUAUUUGCUUUUCUUUACAUCCCAGUGGUUUUCCAAUGUGAUAAUGCACCAGAAUCACUUGAAUGGCUUGCUAAAACACAGAUUGUAAGGCCCCACCUUUAGGGGUUUUGUUUCAUUGAGUUUAAGUGGAACCCAAGAAUUUGCACAUCUUAUAACUCCCCCAGCGAGGGUGAUUUCCCCGACAUGGCACACUGUGAGCCCUGAGAACUAUUUAGUGAAGCAUGUAAUAGACUGACAUUAUUGGAGUUCACCUGAAUGAUUAAAACAGCCAAAGGGCCUACCUAAUGCACCUUUCUUUGGAUUCAGACAGAAGUCCAUAGGUCUGGAAUAGAGGACAAGGAUUAAUGAUAAAAACCCUGUUUAUCAUUAAUAAAUUAUAUUAUUAUUAAUAUCCAGAACCUUGCCUACAACUUUUGAGGACCAUAGUUUUGUAGGCAGGACAAGGUUCACUGCCCAUUUCUCUCUUCUCUUAGGAUGAGUGUUUUCCUGAAUGGCUACACAAUGAUGGGUUAUGAAAGACUUUCAGCCUCUCAUCUUCCACACACAAAACAUGUUUGAAUCCCAGGAGUGAAUUCACCUAGAUUCAAGCAAGAUCUACAUACUACAUCUCUAAGACAGUAAAUUUGCUCAAAUUAUAAUCUUGGAUUUAAAUUGAAUGACCAAAUAAAGGGAUAAAAUUCAAAUUAA